GCAAAGGCUCGGUGGUCCGGGGCAGGGUGUCUGCCAGAGGCGACCGUGCGGCUCACUUGUUGCUUUCCUGAGAGCGAGAGGACUCCCAGCAAAGCCCGAACUCCUCUUUUAGCCCAGGCUGUGAACACUCGCCUUUGCUGCCCAGACCCGGCCUUGGGCCGCGGGCUGGAGGACCGCCAUGGCGAAAGGAGCCUUGCAGUUAGGAAGAAAUAAACAAGCAGGGCAGUGACCAGAGAGGUGGUUAGCCCUGUCCGGCUGGAAAUUGAACGAGGUGUUGGGCAAGGUGCAGUUUAAGAGAAGGGACGAGAUUCUCCGUCCUCGCGGAGCUAUUAGUGACCCAGGCGGUCUGGGAGUCUCUGAAAAGGCGCCAGGCAGUAACAGCCCCAGAUGCUGAGCUGUAACCCGCGCUGGGACUCCGGACAGGGAUCGGAUUCCUGAGACUUCUUUUCUUUAACGGAUGCCGAAGGGGAGGGUUGGACCUGGCAGCGCUGGCAUUCUAAGGACAUUCCUGGGGUGGCCCGGGACCUUGUGGGGAGCUGUGCGUCCAAGGUGCUGGGUGCACCGUCAUACCAUUCCACUUUUGUCUCCUGUCUUCUCAGGGACAGCCCUGUUGAAAUGGGCUAAGGGAACUCCUUGGCCUUUGAGGAUACAAUCAAGUUUACUUUGUGAUAUUCGAUCCAUGCAAAACAGUGUGGCUCUUGAAGCUUUGAAAUGAGAUGAUAAUCCCUGAAUCCAGCGCUUGAAUUUAAGAAUUUGAGCAAUACUAAUAGGUAACAAUUAUCAAUCCAUUCUGUUUCGGCUUUGGUUUAGAGAACAAGAUUACAGUGAUCCUCUGUGACAGCGUGUACGUCAGCAUGCUUGGCUUGUCCUUUUGUUUUUCAAGCAAUAAUUUAAAAUUCUGCAACUCCCAAAAGUUGGUAGUCUAGCUCACAGAGGUCCCACAAUUUUUGUUUGUAUCAGACAUAACAUUCUGUGAGAUCAGUCAGGGAAUUUAGAUGGUCUCACAGUGACUCCUGUCAUUGACCUACAGAAGUGGAAUAAACGGGGCUGAUUUUAAGACCGAAUCCAUGUUACCAUCAUCAAACAUCAUUCCCACUGUUGCUUAAAAGGGAUUUUAAAAAGGAAAAGACGCUGGCUUCCGAGAAGAGAAAGGAUAUAUCUAACAAGAUGGACUGCAAGAGAAACGCUUUCCAGAGGAUGUCAGGAGAUUUCAGUGACCCCAAGUAAUUAAGAGCACUGCUGUGCACAUAACUGGAAAGACAACGGCUUGCAUAAACUCAUAAUUAUCUCUGAUGUGGCCAAUUUAUUUAAUUAAAAAAAACCUCCUUUGAAUUAUUUCCAAAAUAACAGCAGUUCAGUAGGUUCACGAUUAGCUACUAAAGAGUUUGGUGAACAAAAGAAUAAAUUUUUAACAUAAAAUAUCACUGUUAUUUGAUUUUAGUUUCAAGUCCAAAUUUAGUAUUAAAAGUGGUAGGAAAAUAUUAAAUUUAGUUAUUUGACUUAUUUAUUAAGGAUAUUCUGCAAAUAAACAAGAAGUUCAAGUCUUAUUUUUAAUUCCCCAAAUUCACUAUGAAUGACAUCAGUGAGAUAAGAUGAACAGUAAGAUUACAGCUGUCAAAAACAGGAGGAGGCAGUCUCUGAAGCCUGCUGUCAGCAAGGUGUCCAUGAAAUUGACGGAAGAGGACAUCAAUCUAUUUAAAAUUUUCUUGUCAAUAGGUUUCUUCUUUGCUGGUUCCUUCUCCAUUGAUUUCUUAACCUGCUUUUCAUACUCCAUUUAACAUGUUUAAAUAAAAAAGAAGCCAAUGUGAAUGUCUUUUAAAUUAACACCAUCCUAAAGCCCUGAGGUCCCAUGAAUAAGUUUUUGCUCUGAACAUUUGGAAAUAAUCAUCACAGAGACAGCAUAAUGUCAGCUUGGUAGUUCUCACACUAUGAAAAUAUCAGCUACGUGUCAAAUAUCUAAAGCUUGCCUUAGUGUAAUAAAUCUUGUUGUAUUCACAAGCUACUGAAAAUUCUAAAUAUUUAAACGAGGAGUGAAUGUCUAGACAUGUGGAUGGAUGUCUACUUAGAGCACAGCCUCUUUCUCUCUCUCCACUCCUCUGCCCCAACAGUAUAUGAUUUGCUAGAACAAGAUUAUUUAUACACACAACUUUUCUAAGUAGCUCCUUCCCCAAGACCAUAAGGAGGAGAAGUUUCAAAUCUCUCACCUCCAGUUAAAACCACUAGCCCAAGAGAUAGUUCUUUUAAAUUUUCUGGGAAAACACUUCUACUCCUUUUAUCAUGAGUAGUAUGGAGACUUAAAUACUCAACUCAAUGUCUGAAAUUUUAAGUCAAACCCCACUUGGGCAUAGAAAUGAGAACACACAAUUUUACGAGUAUUAGGAGUGGGUAAGUGUUAGUAUCACAUCAAAAAAGCUGAGAAUUCUGAAAUGGGCGGGAUGUGAUAAGGAACAUUAUUGUAUUAAGACUAUGAGAAAAGUAAAAAUGCUUUCAAGAACCACUAAGAGUAAAGAACAAGAGAGUUACCGAGUGUCAAUUUGCUAAAUGAACCUGAACACCAAUAAGCUGUGCUACUGGUUUUGCCUGAAGCGUUUCUGUAUUUACUCAUUGCAUAAACUGUUCUUGUUGACUGUUGGCCUGGUUCCACAAGAUGAGUAUUCAGGUACAGAGGUGAAAGCAACAAUCCCAGACUUCUGUCUUUGGUCUAGACAAGUAAACCCAAUAUGCAACGUUUACACCUUCUUUCAUUACACUGUGGGUACAAGUACCACAUUUCCUUGCUGGUGUGAAGUUCAAUAUCAUGGGAUAGGUAAAAGCAAUGGGAUGCUGGGGUACCCAGAUAGAUACCUCCCACAACUUCCCAGAGCAGAAAUAGGUUUGUAAUGCCCAGGAACAUAGUAAGCUUCCAAAACAACAUAAAGGCCGUGGUGUUGAUCGCUCAUAGUGGUUUUGUUCUGUUACAGUGUGCAAGUCACAAAUCUAUUUUUCACCAAGAUAACAAUAUAAAAGCAAGUAAAAUUUAUGCGAAUUUGGCGCUGACUCUGUAACCAUAUCGUUUAGUAGAAAGAGCUGCCUCCACUGUGUCCUACUAAUGUGUACUCCCUCCAAAAGAUUGGUUACACGCUGCCUGUGAGAACCGUGCUUGAUUCUUAGGCAUGAGUGGUAUCAAAACAGUUCCAGCUUGCUUUGUGGGAAAACAGCCACACAGCCCAGGUCCGCUGGCAUAAAAGGUCAAUGCCUUAUCAAUGUUAUAAAAACAAAUCUUCAGUAUCAUUAGGGUUUUAGAGUUUGUCUACUUAAAGUAACACCCAAGGGCCACCCCAGUGGUUUAGUGGUUAAGUUCACUGGGCUCUGUUUCGGCGAGCGGGGUUCGUGGGUUUGGAUCGCAGGUGCAGAGCUAUACCACUCACCAAGCCGUGCCGUGGGGGUGACCCACAUACAAAAUAGAGGAAGAUUGGCACAGAUGUCAGCUCAGGUACAAUCUUCCUCACCAAAAAAAUAAGUAAAUAACACCCAAUACUUAAUUUUGGUUACUACUGUAAAUGGCUUCUUUUUAUUAUUAUAUUUUCCCACCAUGUAUUACUAAUUUAGCCAGUUUUUAUAAUCUGCAGGGGGAGGACAGAGUCUGUGUGACUUUUUAAAAAUCCUUUUCUCCAAAUUGAUACAGGGACUAUAAAUGAGUAGUAAAUUCUGCCACUUUGGCAAAAUAGAUUCCCAGUGGUUGAAAAUUGAAAGAGUAAUACAGUAAUAAUAUGAGGUCUGAGAUUUUCUUCAAAAUAAUGUUGGAAGGGGGAAGAGGCCGGGGUACAGACGAGGCUGAGGUGACCUGAGGUUAAUAAUGGGUGAGGCAGAGUUGUGAGUACAGAAGGAUUCGGUAUUUUCUUCUGUCUGUUUCUGUGUAUUUUAUUUUCUCUGUAAUAAAAGUUAAUUUUUAAAAUGUAGUCAGUAGAUAAUACAUCAAGAUACUUCAGUUUUGCAUAAUGCUCAACUAAGAGAAAAAAGACAGAAAUGAAGGGGGAAAAUAGGAGGAAAGGGAAAAGAAGCAGGGCUAAGUUGAGAGAACAGAGUUGGUAAAAGCUAUCAAGAGAAGAUAAUGAGUUCCAAAAUGACAGGUUCAACAUUCGUUCAAGAGUGAAAAGCACAGAAGCUAAAACUUCAGUGCCUGUAGCAAGAUGCAUGUGGGUUUCUCUUAGACAUGCCCACAGAGGGAGGCAGGCAGAGCUGUGGCGCUCCGCAAGGCAAGGACCCAACCCCCUCUCUUUUGUGGCUCUGCUCUGCACACCUUGAUCCCCACAGUCAUGCCAUGGGCUGGGGGAGCCACUGGAGUUCCAACCACCAAGUCCACAUCUUGUCAGGAGAAUGGGACCCAGUCAGAUCCCAUUGGCUGCUCCCAGCUGGUGGGCUGGAAAACGUCGCUUUUAUUCUGAGAGGCCAUGUACCCAGCUAAAAGUGGAGGAAGAAAUGAAGUAUUACUGUUAUUCCAUUCUUAUGGAGAAAGAGAAAACACUAUUGGGAGAUAGUGACAGUCCCCGCCGUAACAUCACAUCACAUCACAUCACAUCACAUAAUUCCGUAAAGCUCACCUGUUUCCCAUCCCUCCACCCUCACAGCCCCUAACCCUUUAUCUCGUUGACUCCCUUCGUUUUUCCCAUAUCGUCUACCAUUAUCUGAAGUGUCCUUGUGUGUUUGUUUAUGUGUGUCUUGUAGUUGCCCCACAGAGAGCGUGAGCACUCCCCCAGCAGCACCACCUAAUUAGUGCAGAUGUCCAGAGAGAUGAGGACACACGUGCACGCCAAGAGGGUCUGAAAGAUUUAUUGCUUACAUGCCAAGGUUUUCUGGGAAGAGCAGGGCAAUACAAAAUGGCCUGAAUGAAAACAGGUGAGCGGCUCCGGUGUUCCUUGUAGUUAGGGGGUGGGGCCGGGGUUAGAGUUCCUCUGUGCACCACUGGAGUUUUCGUGGUCUGAACAAGGGAGGGAGUGCCCAGACUUGCUUACCUAGUUGCCCAGAGGCAGGGCAGAAAGGGAAAGGGGGUAGGACUUGAAAGCUGUCAGCAGUCAAUCAAACAUCAAAAACAGAGUCAGACAUGUUUAUUGUCUGUCUCCACUAGGAUUUUAACUUCCAGGAAGCCAGGGGCCAUAUCAGUCUUAUUGGCCUCUGUAUCCUGCACGUCUACAACAGCACCUGGCAAGUUACGAAUUCAGUAAACAUUUGUUGAUACGAAUAAACUCAUUGCAAAGUUUAUAAACUCUUCAUGUGAUUGCUUAUCCAACAGAGUCAGAGUGCACCUACUAUAUGCUAGUGACUUUCCAAGGCAUCCCGUGACUGAAUAAGGUACAGUCCUUGCCCUCCAAGAGUUCCAAAUCCAUUUGGGAGAGGCAUCAGUCUUUCCUGGGGCGGGGUGAUGAGUGUUCUGCCAGGUGAAUGGAAGGCCAUCAGAGAAGGGCCAGGAAGCCUGUUGGCCAUUGCAUUAGAGGGUUCCCAUCAUAGGGUAAGGGGAGGAGGAGGAAAGCUCGAGGAAAAGGUGGCUGGAAAGACAGUUCUCUGCUUUCAUUCGUCAACAAGUGUUUGCUGAGCACUAUGUGCCAUUACUCUGUACCAACUAUUAUCCCAGGUCCCAGGGAAACUGGUUUGUGACACAGACCUCUUGGAAGGUGUAGUGUAAUGGGGCAGACAGGUCUUAAAAGGUCAAACAUUUGGUAAUCAGCAGCCUAUUGAGAUCAUGGGAAUAGAUGAGGCUGUCUGUCUGCAUCUCAAGAAUUUCACAAUGAGGGUGAUGUAUUUCCCAGCAAUGGAACAGGGAAGCAUUGGUUUGCCAGUCCUUCUAAUGUGACCUGGAUCAAAACAAUAGUCCCUUUGUGGCAAUGUUUCUGUAUUUCCCUGUGGUUGUUUUUCACUGUUUGGUUUCAUUCUGUUUUUAGUGGGGAGAAAAAUCAAGCCAAGAAAACAAAAAAAAAUUUCCUUUGUGGCACUAUUACCACCUGGAAGGGUCUCUCUGUGUCCCUGUCAUGUCAUUUCUCUCUCUCUCCAGUGGUGAUACAAAAACUAUCUAAAAAUAAAAAGGCUGGGCUAGAAUACUUUGUUUAUUGUUAUUUCGGAUAAAAUCCUGCUAUAUUUACGUGGUUUUCAUUGCCCUUUGAAACAUUGAUUGGCCAAUAAUUUCUUCACUGACAGGUUCAUUAGUUUUAAAAGGAACAUUAUACUUCUAGAUGAAGCACAGCCAAGUCUCCUACUCCUGGGACCAUAUUAGCAAAUACUUUGACCUUUUCUCCUUCUCCUCUUUCACAAGAUACUUUGCCACUUCUUUGCCUAGCGAAUUCUUAUUCAUUCUUCAGGUCUGAAUCCCACCCCUCCUCCUAAUCAGAGUUGAGGACCCCUCCUAUAUUGCCCCGUCGCUCAUCAUAUUUAUACACUUGUCAGACUAUAUUGUAAUUGCUCACGUGUCUACAACCCCGGUAGAGAAUGACUUUCAUGAGAUAAGGGAGGUUUUGCAAGCCGUCUUUGUUCUCUCUCCAAGUCUUCACACAGUGAAGGCGUAUGAAAGGCACUCAAAAUUUUAGAUUGAGUCAAGAAUGAAUGAAUGCAUUACAGUAUCUGAAUAAAUGGAUUAUGGUUCACUUAUUACCUCUGCUCUCGACCCAUCAGAUUUUAUCAUCCUUUGAAUGUGCUGAUACACCUUAGUAUUAAGCAAGAAGAUUAUUACCCAUAUCUUUACUCAAAUUACGUUCAGAGUAAUGAAGAAAUAUUAAUGGGCAAAGGAAAUAGUGGAUUACUCCUAACAAAGCCCCACAGUUUCAUACAGGGGAAUAAAAGGGAGGAAAUAUACAUAUUAUAUACAUAGUUUAUUGUUACCUUUAUAGUAACUUUUUACAUUUGAGUAAUAGGCACCCAUGGUUGCCACUUUGCUUCGCUAUAUAUUAAAGAAAAAAUGAAUUUUUAAGUAAUUAUUAUAGCUAAUACACAAUUCAAAGUUUUGACAUUACUGGGCUAAGUCUGGAAGUCAUGUGGUAGGUAAAUCUAUAUAGUGUUUAUGUCCCAAAUGGAAAUGGGACACCACAUGGUACCUGAUCCAGCCUGGAUAGAAAUAUAUUGUAUUUCCACCAGAAUGUGUGACGAGGGUAUUAUAUUUCAUUUACUAUUCAGGUUAACAUUAGUCAUUUUAAAAAUAACAAAGUCACCUGAAGACAGAAUAGUGAUAUAUAGCAGUGUAGCCGUAUCAAUUAAAAUUAAGAAGCUACAAGACUUAGAUUUUUAACUGUAUAACUUAUGAUCACUUAAGAAAUUUUUUCUUCUCUUUUUCUGAUACUCCAAUAUGUUGUUGAUUCGUGACUUAAAAGACCAGAUUAUAUUGAAGGGGACAGGUGGAUACCCUGGAGAGGGGCCCAGGGAAAUUUUUGUCAUGAUAGAAAUGUGCUAUUUCUUGAUUGAGGUGGUAGUCAUGAGUUUUUGCCCUUUAACCAUACCAUUAAGACGUGUGCUUUUUGUUUUAUGUAUGGUAUACCUCAAUUUAAAAAAAAAAAAAGAUAUUGAGAGGAUAAGGACUUGUUAAUAAGUUCACAAUACUUUAUAAGAUUCCUUUUUUUCUGAAUUUGAGCUGAGGAUACUCUCAGCUUGAAAUUUGAAAGAAAUUAUUCUUCAAAAAACUCUGUAAGCCUUGCUACUGCUUGAUUUUUAUGUUAAAACAACAAAUCUUGGCAAGAAAAAGCUAUAGGUUUCAACUAUCUUCAAAUGGCACCAACUUGUCUCCUUGAGUGGGGUGUUGAUAGAGCUGAAGAAAACCAUUCCUUCAUGCAGGGCAAGUUGCUUUUAGCCUAAAAGCUCAGCCUACUGUUUUCUGUUGAUGUGGGGAAAAAAAUGUAAUUGAUACAAGCACGCCUCAGUUUAUGCAGACUAAAGAGUGAUUAUUCAAAUAUUUUUAAUGCACUAAACAAGCUUACUAUUUCAAAUAAUUUUAUGACUCUUUUUUUGGCUAAGUGAGGGACCUGUUGUGAUGCGGGCCAUCUACCAUUUGUACAUCAAUUCUUGGACGCACAUAUUUUUCACAUUUAACUUCACAUCAAAACUUGCAGAAUGGGUAUUAGCAACUUGGAAAAAAUCCUAGAAUCCUAGUGUAAGUGAAGCAUCUUAUUUCAAAGAAAUGCUCUCUCCCCGAUGCUCUUGAUGGAACAAAGGAUGAUGUAUAUGAGAAAACACAGACACAGAUGCCUCUAAGUUACUCUGUGAUUCACAGUCAUCAGACACAGAAGGUGAAGGAGUUGCAGGAAUAGUUUAACUAAUUAUUUUCCUUAUAUCUCCCUUUUUAGGUAUAUACAUGAGUGAUAUUUGAUAACGUACAUCUAAAUAAGUCUAAAACAGCUUUUUCAAGUAUAAAAUAAAAAUUUCAAGUGCUAAGAAAGUGAACCAUAGAAUAAUUGGCAGCAUAUUUUCUUUUGUAGUGGCACAUAAAAUAAUGGUCCAUCUUACAACUGAUAGCAUCUUAGAUUCUAUCAAAACUGGUCCUUGUGCUUUUUGGAUGUUGGCUUUUCAGCCAAAGGGAUGAUGGAGGAGCAGGGAGGAAAGACCUGUAAUCAAAUGGUAUCUUAAAUGUAUAAUAAUAACAAUGCUAUUUAUUGAGUAGCUACUAUAGGCCAGCUGCUAUGCUAAGUGCCUUAUGUAUAUCAUUACACGUAAUUCUCUCCCCAAAAGCCUGAGAGAGACUUGUUGUUUAACUGACUUUUAUCCUUUCAGAGCCAUUAAGCAAUAUGUCCAAGGUAAGUUUGCAAAACUGAAUUUGAACCUAGUUUUGACAGACUCCCAAAGCUCUUGAUCUUUGUGUACUGUCUUCCCUUGCCUCUCCCCACACCCCACCAUCCCCCAGAGUUCAAAGGGAAAGCUUAAAGAGGGUGGAGAGAGAGAAUGAGAAUCCCAGCAUCGUUCAGUUCCUGUUCAGGUUGCUUUUGAAGACGUUUCGUCGCUGAUGUGGUGACGCCGUCUUCCUUCAGUCAGCAUACAGAAGUUCGUACAAUUCAUAUGAAUUUUCACAAAGUGAACUCACCCGUUUAGCCAGCACUGAGAUCAAGAAACAGAGCCCUGCAGAAGCCCAGCAGCCUCCACCCUGCCCUGCCGUCGUCACCCAGCCCCUCACCCCUCUGCAAGGCCUCUCCUGAUUACAUUGGAUCCAGGUGGGUAGGACAUGGACAUCUUUGGGGAACCAUUGGUCGGCCUACCACACCAACCCUCUGAAGUUACGUUCGGCUCCCGUCCUCCAGUACACUUCAUCCCUGCCACCUCAGCGAAGUAAAGCGGAAACUCAAUGUCCUUUUACCCCGUGAUCUCAACUCAAAGACGUUUACAAAGUAAACUCCUGGAGCGUAGGGAUGGACCAGCUUCGUUACUGUUUUCCCACCACCGGAAUAAUCUUGGAUACUCAGUGGACACUCAGUGACUACUUGUCAGUUGAAGGAACGCGUGAAGGAGUAUUCCCUACAUCCUGACAUCCCUCCUGCGAGGUGAGGAGCAGCCGUGUGACAUGGGAGGACCUGAGGAUAACUGCCUGCAGCUGUGGUUUUACUCCAUACUCUGAUCUUCACCAAAACACGUACGGUCUCUCUAUACCUCCAUUUCCUCACCUGGUAAAUGAGGUGGCUGGCACAAGUAAUAUCUAGAGUAUCUAGCCAGCAUUAAUAUUCAUUUUAAAUGGAAACAAUCCUUAAGGUAAAAAGUAAAGUGAAAAGGUCAGAAUUCAAAAUUCUAUAAAUGGCAUGAUUUAAAUUGACUGUAAAAUUAUGCACCAUACUAAUAUAAAUGUUAGCAAAAAGGGGAAACUGGGUUUAAGAUACAUGGGCAUUCUGUACUAUCUCCACAAUUUUUCAAUGAAUUUAAAACUGUUCUAAAAUAAAAAGUUUAUUUUUUAAAA